rnacentral:rRNA from 1 species
GACGGAGGGUGCAAGCGUUGUUCGGAUUGACUGGGCGUAAAGGGCGUGUAGGCGGUCGGCCAAGUCUGAUGUGAAAGCCCGAGGCUCAGCCUCGGAAGUGCGUCGGAAACUAGUCGGCUGGAGCGCGAUAGAGGAGGGUGGAAUUCCUGGUGUAGCGGUGAAAUGCGUAGAUAUCAGGAGGAACACCGGCGGCGAAGGCGGCCCUCUGGAUCGUUGCUGACGCUGAGGCGCGAAAGCGUGGGGAGCGAACAGG